UGUAGGCCUAACUCCAUUUAAUCUUCAUGCUACAUUGACAAGCCAAUAAACUUUCAUUGCUCACUUUUACGGACAAUGAAAUGUACAACUGUUAAUCUCUGCAAAUAAAGAGUAACUCAAUGAAUGGUGUUAAUAUAGCCCAAC